rnacentral:rRNA from 1 species
AUUGAACGCUGGCGGCAUGCUUUACACAUGCAAGUCGAACGGCAGCGCGGGCUUCGGCCUGGCGGCGAGUGGCGAACGGGUGAGUAAUGCAUCGGAACGUGCCCAGUAGUGGGGGAUAGCCCGGCGAAAGCCGGAUUAAUACCGCAUACGACCUGAGGGUGAAAGCGGGGGACCGAAAGGCCUCGCGCUAUUGGAGCGGCCGAUGUCGGAUUAGCUAGUUGGUGGGGUAAAGGCUUACCAAGGCGACGAUCCGUAGCUGGUCUGAGAGGACGACCAGCCACACUGGGACUGAGACACGGCCCAGACUCCUACGGGAGGCAGCAGUGGGGAAUUUUGGACAAUGGGGGCAACCCUGAUCCAGCCAUGCCGCGUGCGGGAAGAAGGCCUUCGGGUUGUAAACCGCUUUUGUUCGGGAAGAAAUCCUCUGGGCUAAUACCCCGGGGGGAUGACGGUACCGGAAGAAUAAGCACCUGCUAACUACGUG